AGCGAACGCUGGCGGCAGGCCUAACACAUGCAAGUCGAACGGACCCUCGGGGUUAGUGGCGGACGGGUGAGUAACACGUGGGAACGUGCCUUUAGGUUCGGAAUAGCUCCUGGAAACGGGUGGUAAUGCCGAAUGUGCCCUUCGGGGGAAAGAUUUAUCGCCUUUAGAGCGGCCCGCGUCUGAUUAGCUAGUUGGUGAGGUAACGGCUCACCAAGGCGACGAUCAGUAGCUGGUCUGAGAGGAUGACCAGCCACACUGGGACUGAGACACGGCCCAGACUCCUACGGGAGGCAGCAGUGGGGAAUCUUGCGCAAUGGGCGAAAGCCUGAUGCAGCCAUGCCGCGUGAAUGAUGAAGGUCUUAGGAUUGUAAAAUUCUUUCACCGGGGACGAUAAUGACGGUACCCGGAGAAGAAGCCCCGGCUAACUUCGUG
rnacentral:rRNA from 1 species